CUCCCUUCCCUCCUGCUCCAAGUUAGAGAUGUAUUCCCCUUCCUUCAGAACCUUACACAGCAAAGCGACAGGACAAAGAACCAGUCUGUGUGUGAUAUUUUGAUGAACCAAAUCUUCAAAUGCCAGUCCGGUAAAAUCUCCGUCCUCUGUUAGGACUUUCAGAAAUAAAGUUUGCAUACAUCAAGACUGUGAUGACUUUGAGUCAAAUUCUAAUACUGCUGCAAUAGAUGGAACAAAUCCUUGUAUCUUCAGUCUGGACAAGGCUUCCCCGUUUGGAACUGCACCAUAUAGUCCCUUAGAAACUGUAAUACAGCUUCAGUAAAAUAAAACUGUAUGCAAAGGAACUGUUCAAAACCAAAACAGCUCACUGACACUUUCCCACUUGUAAUGAUUUCCUUAUUCUUAAAGUUGAUUUUCUUGUUAAUUAACCCCCCAAAACAUCACAAGGACUCUUGCGUAGCAGAUGGCCUCCCAAGAAGAAACAAAAGAGACUUGCUUCCCCCCUCCAACCAGUUCUUCAAAGUCAACUUGUCAAUUAUACACAGAUAGUUCAGGGACAAAAGCAAAAAUUAGUCCAGCUAAUUUGGGUAGGAUAUAGAUUAUCUCCUGAUAACUGGCAUUCUUGCUUAUUAAAAAUCCCCCAUGAGCUAACUAAGAUUCUAAGCCCAGCCUAUUUGUGAGAUACACUUGUUUUUAAAAUGGCCCGGGGGUGAUAAGGUUUUCAGCUGUCAUUGCCUAAUUCAGCGAGAUGGGCUGUUAGUGACCUCAUUCCCCACCCUUUCUCCCCUCUAUCUGCUGCACUGGAACACAGUCCUUCCAGGAUUAUCACCCCCACACCCAGUCCUGCAACAGCGCACAGACGGUCCCGAAUUCAGCACACGAAAUCAAGCUGCUGCCUGCUCACCCUGGGCUCCACAGGCAGCACUUGGCAAGGGAACACUAACGUGGGAGGAGGAGGCUGCCAAGCUGUCCCCCUCAGGGCUCCCUGGGCCAUCCCGAGCAAAUGACUGAGCUUAAAGAAGGGGCUCAGCCUGACUGGUAACUGCUUUCCACCCAUCCAUGAAACCUGGAGCACUGGAGCUGCACGGAAAUCCCACCCCUACCUGCUGAGCUAGCAGAAACCCACUGCAGCAGAAACCCCAAAAUAACCUUUCAAAACAUGAUAGAAGUCCCUUUUUUUUUUUUCCCCCUGUUCUUGGGAAGUGCACAGUGCAGGAGGUGAAGGCAGUUUCUACAACAGCCUAGUGGUCAGAGCACUGAGGACGAGGGAGGGCCACAGCUGAGCCCUUCCUCUCCUUGGGGUUUCCACCCAGCAGGACACAGCCCACACUCACUGAGACAAGCAGCAAGCACCUGGCUCCUGCUCUGAGGUCCAGCUUUGAAGCAGGCCCCAGGCGCUGACCCUCAGUUAACAUCAAAGCUCCCAAACUACCCAGCAAUGCUCCCUCCUCCAGUCUCAAGGUCACAGCAAUAGCCUCCCCCUGCUCUUCUCUUCCAAAGCUUUACCUUCAGUUCUGCUGACGUUCACAAUGUGCAGCUGUGCUUGAGGAAAACAUGAGGCAGGGCUUGGCAGCCGCUCUUUCCAGGGCUCCCUACGCUGCCCUGUGACACAGAGCUGCGUGCAGAAUAACGAGGGCUGAGAAGCGUGGUCCUAAAAUACUGCACCACGUUUUGAAGACCCUCUACGGCUCUGUCAAGAGAAGGGACUGCUCUAGGGGACGGAAAAGAGACAGUCAAAGUAGAAGAAGGAAAAAAGAAACAGCUCUACAAGUCAGACAUUCUUAGGUUUUUGGUGAUUGUUUCUUUCCCUGACCACACAAAUACCAGGUUUGCUCUUUUAUCCUUUUCAGUCUCUGAGCUGAGCCCCCAGCACUUCCCCACAGCUGAUCCCAAAGUCCCUCUGGAGCCACGACAAGCCCCUCAGUCCCAGCAGCAGUACGGGAGGUCCCCAAAUUCUCGGCUUUCAACCACUGAGCUUUGAUGUCUUUCUCUACCCCUCUCUUUUCCAGUGCAAUUCCUCCUCUGCUCAGAAAAAGGCCUUCAGCACAACAGCGAAGCCACAUCUCUGCAGGUCCCCGUUUCAAAAAGGUUCCCUCCACCCGGCGUCCCCUCCUCACCCCAACACUGCAUUUUUACUCCCAGCUGACACUCAGAGAUGCUUCCCCUAUUGGAGCAAGCAAACUAUGGCUAAAUCACGUUUGACAUAGUCACAAAUACCAGCUCCUGGCAUUCUUAGCAGCCCUAAAUUAAAGGGACAUUCACUUGAAAUGCAGUUCUUCACGAGAUAUGAGGACGAGCUCCAAGCAUUGUUCCCUGCCUGGAGAGCCCUACCAAACAGGGUUUCUUUACACUCACGUUUUCCCGUCCCAAGCGAUCUCUUCCCCAGCUGCUACGCAGGAGAUCCACAACAAACCAGGCUAACUGUCCGGGCAGGCAAGCGAAAAUUACACCCUGCCUGCCCUUACGUUCAUGCAAUAAGCACACAAAAGCUAACA